UUAACUUUGCUUCACAUAUGUCACCCUAAGUGGAGCAAAAAAAUAUUUUAAAUUUAAUAUGCCCCACUUUGAAGACAUAACACAAGCAGCAAUACAAAUUUAAUUCGCUGCCCCACUUAUGAAGUCAUAACACAAGCAACAAUACAAAUUUAAUUCGCUGCCCUAUUUAUAAAGGUAACGCAAGCAGCAAAUUUUACAUGCUACGUGCCUGUGUUCAAUGUGCGCAUGCGCUGACAAUUUAUUCAAAGAGGAUGGGUUCAAGAAAAGAAAAGACGUAAGUAUUUCUUAAUUUUUCAAAUGUUUUUGUUAUUUCUUAACACUUUUGUAAAUUUAUGUUCUUUCUCCAGGCAACGAAGUAAUAAUCACUCUUUUUGGGAGGGAAUAUUCUUAUCAGGAAAUAUUGGUAGAAUUAUGUGAAGAAUAUGACUUCAAGUUGAGUUUGCGACAGCUAAAACGCAUUUUAAGGGAACAAAACUUUUUUCGAGGGAAAUAAAAAUGCACCUUUGCCUAAAUAUGUACAGUUAUUGAGGUAAGUCUCUUUUGUUUUCAGCUUUCUUCUUGGUAUGCGCAUAACUUGUGUAGACUAAAAUGCCAUCGAUGCACAUAGUUUAGAAUUAUUGAGAAUAGUGGAUGUAAGUAGGUUUUAUGACGUUAACAUUAUUGAAAUAUCACAAAAAAUUUUUAAUUUUAAAUCUUUUUUCCAAGAAAAACAGUACAAGAAUUUCAAAGUGUCAUAGAUCCAGACGUACAGCUCAGAAAAGCGAAAAAGUUAAAAAGGAAGGAAAUACAUAUGCAAAGUAUGCUUUAAGUGACAUAUUUUAGUUGAGUAAUCGAACAUCAAGCGAGUUUUUUAAUAUUUUGUAACUUAGGGACCAAAUGAAGUGUGGCAGAUCGAUGGCUAUGACAAGUUGAAACCUUUUGGUUUCUGUAUUCAUGGAUGCAUUGACGGGUACGCUUACAACAAAAGAUAGGUUUUAUAAAUAAAUAAUUUUUGCUAUUUCCUGUUUUAGCUACUCGAGGAAAAUCAUUUGCUUAGACUCCUCUGAUACUAAUAACUGUCCGAAAGUGGUAGCAAAUCAUUAUGUAAACGCUGUCAAAAAUUUUAAAGGCUUCCAGGAUAAUACGAGCAGACAGGGGAAAUGAAAACUUAAAUAUCGCUGCUGUUCAAAUGUUUUUAGAAGAAAUGACACUGACCCGUUUGCCGGCGAAAACAGUGUCUUGUUUGGAAAAUCAACGUCUAACCAGCGCAUAGAGGCUUUAGGGUCGUAUUUAAGAAAGACCAAAAUUGACUGGUGGAUUAAUUACUUUAAGGAUAUGGACAGCGAUGGUUCGUGGUAGUCAAGUGAUAUGAUUCAUCGAGUGAAGGCGGAACAGUUAAUGGUCAAGUGAAGACUAACGUACAGAUCAUCGCCUAUACCAUCUGGGGGCUUAGAAAUCCCACUACUGCUAACAUAUACGUGCGACGAUGAAAAAAAACCUAGAUACGAUGAAUGACUUCAUGAACAGCCUUUACGAAUGGAGCAACAUUGUAUUAGUUGAAGAAAAUCAGGAAGAGGAUGACAGUGACACAGAUCCUGACUUUACAAUUAGUGCGAAAACGACAUAUUGUUUCGGACCAGAUUUUUUUACUUAUU